ensembl:snRNA U6 U6 spliceosomal RNA
GUGCUCACUUUGGCAGCACAUAUACUAAAACUGGAACAAUACAGAGAUUAGCAUGGCCCUUGUGCAAGGCUGCCAUGCAAAUUUGUGAAGCGUUCCAUAUAUUC